ACCGGAGUGGAUACCUUCCAUAUCGUCGAAUACAACGAUAAGACCAAGAAGCUGGGAGACCUCAUCACUGAGAUCCUCACUGCCUAAUACGGCCAUCCUAAUAUCUUCAAUACCCCGUUCACACUGCAAAAUUUGGUUCUACAUCAAACUAGUCAGGGCCAGGACUGGGCCAGGCACGCGCUAAAUCGCAGCGUACAGACAAACCGAACUCAAUCAGGCUAAAUUAGCACCGGUUUCAGGGGCGGAUCUAGCUUUCAGGAGACGGGACAGGGGGUUGAUAUGAUAUUUGGUGGUCCGGCGGGGGCAUGCCCCCCUCCCACCUGGAAAAUUCAGGCAGCCGUGUAGUCACAGGGGAAAUCCCCAAGUUUCUAUCAGCCUGCAAACUGACUUUUUUAAUUUUUGGCCCCAUUUUACUAGUAUCAUAACAUUAGUCAGUGGCUGAACGGGGGUUGCAACCCCCCCUCCCCUACCCUUUAGAUCCGGUACUGAGUUUACUGCGCAUGCUCAGUUUAGCUUGUUACGUCACUCAGCAGACAGCAACGUGAGUUUUAUGUGACCCAAACAAGGCUAUGCGCAUGCGUAUAUCGAAAUUUAGCCCGCGUCUGGUCCCGGAUUGUGUGCACACACAGUUUAGCGCAGGCCAACUUAGCACGCUUCGAAGCGGGCCUGGCCCACCUUCAUUUGCGAGGCUAGCCUAGUCCGGACUAGCGCGUAUUUAGCGCGUAUCAAAUUUGCAGUAUGUACGGGGUAUAUAUGACCUCCGGCCUUAUCCUGGGCCGUAUAGGAGAGUGCUUCUGAAGAUGACUGUGGAAUGGAAUAGACAAAGUUGGACUCAAACGGCAACGACAUUGGAAAUCACAUUAUUUACGUUUUAGAUUAGAUGACAGUUAUAGAAAGAAAAACUCGCAUUUCUUUCUGUGCAUAUAUUCAAGAAUAGUCGCAAUAGAGAUAGAUGCUGUAGUUAGGGCUAUUUCAUAUAUCUGCUUACAAUACUCAUUCAUAAUUUAAUAAAGCCCAUUUAAUUGUCUAUGUAUGUAUGAUAUAAAUGUCUCUAUAACAUAUGUAUUUGGUAUUUUGGGGAACGAAUUAGUAUCAAAACAGUAUUCCAGUUCGUAGUUACAGUCUGCGCAUGCGCGAACUUUGCCACGAAUUCUUUCGGGUCAGGUCAUUUGUGACAAUAUAGUUCGUAUUUCGACCGCACAGUCCACAUACGCAUUCAUAUGUGUCGUUGUAAUGCUACAGGCUUCGCGUGUGCACGUACACGUGCGUGCGUGCGUGUGCACGUACACGUGCGUGCGUGUGCACGUACACAUGCGUGCGUGUACACGUACACAAAAUACAUGUACAUAUACGUACUGAACUGAGAGCGCACGUCGCACUCGAGAUUUCAUUGAUUUUUAUCACAACUAGUAUGAACUACUAACUACUAACUACUAACUACUGACUACUAACUGGCUUAUUGUCAAGGCACUAUAAUUGUAACCGAGCGUGCGUUCAUUCGAUCUUGUUUGCCAUCAUUUUAGCUAUUCAAAAAUACCACCAAACUUUUUUCGAAUCGCAAAUUUAUAAAUUAAUUACAUGUAUUAAUGUAUUUGAGUAUACAUAUGGCACUAACUUUCAAUAUUUUGCACCGAUAAGUGCACCUGUGACGAAGCUUUAUAAAAAUCAACGUAAUAUUAAAUUCGAAGACUGGGGUAAGUAUAGACUAGACCUGCUAAUUUUUUACUUACUAAUUUGCGCAGGCAGUCAGUCCAAUCUAUUGAGUAAUAUUAUAUAUAUAGUUACUACGGCGAUAAAUCGAGUUUGACAAUCUUCCCACGAGCUGACUCAUGGUUCGCGGACGCACGGUUUUGAUUGUUCAAACUAGCUGACUCGAUCGUGUUUCGUGUGGAACGUGUUAAAUUUAAUUUUCCAAUAAAUUUGUGUUGCUGCUUUUGUGUACAAGAUUA